UCCUCGGUAGCUCAAUGGUAGAGCAUCCGGCUGUUAACCGGAGGGUUGCAGGUUCGAAUCCUGCCCGGGGAGCCA
rnacentral:tRNA from 2 species